UUUAAGUUCAUGUUAACCUCAAAAAAAAAAAAAAAAAACUCUCUCUAGCUGGUUCCAUCAGUAGAAGCAUGCCCGUAGUUGAUGGCCAGUGUUUUGUGUAUGUGUUGGGUGAUUUUUUUCAGAAAUUUAAGCUGUGGUGUGGGGAUACUGGAUUCUUAUUGCAUUUUUGACAACGGUAUUUUAGUUUUUGUUGUAGUUGAAGUUUUUGGGUGAAGAUUAAGUUGGAUAAAUUCAUAUGGUUGCCAACGAAAUUCAUACGCUAUCUUAUUGUUUGCUGGGAAUUAUUUUCCUACUCUUUUACAUGCAAUUGAGGUAUAUUGUCGGUAUUGCUUGAAAGUGAUUUAGUUUGAGGUUUAAUGGACCUUGGAGCGUGGGCAAAACUUGAUUAGUGUUUUCUCAUACUAGUAUUGUAAGAAAGAGUACGUCAUGCCAAUUAUCAUGGUGAUUGGUAUGUCUAUUGGUGUAUCUCAGCUUCAGAUUGUUCAUGUUAUGUUGUGUAGGAGAUUAUGCUAGGAUCAACCUAAUUAUAGCUUUGAGAUUAGUGAAUUCCCCAUGUUUCAGGGAGAAUGGUAGGAGCUAUAACCUUAUUUAUGGCAAACCCGCUUUGCCAUUGGCACCUGCAUCUCUCAAAUUUCUUCCUUGUCCGCCCACAUGCGAUCCCCAAUCAGUUUCACCUUAUUAUAAAGUAGAUCUCUUAUCUUCUUCAUUAAAUAUUAAAAAAUUUUCUCACUAAAUUGUUGUUUGUCGGAAGUGAGAAGAAUUUAUAUGGUUUCUAAUAUUUAUUUUUUAUUUUGUUUAUGGCUAUUAUUUAUUUAAAGUUUUCCUUCAAAUUGAUCAUUAUUUGCUGUGAAUAACUUAAUUUUG
rnacentral:misc_RNA from 1 species